GGAUGUGAGGGUGAUCUGGCUGCGACAUCUGUCACCCCAUUGAUCACCAGGGUUGAUUCGGCUGAUCUGGCUGGCUAGGCAGGUGUCCCCUUCCUCCCUCACCACUCCAUGCUCAUCCCUCCCUAAGCUGAGCACUAGGUUGAAGAGGACAACCUUCCCCGAUAGAGGAGGACCGUUCUUCAGUCAAGGGUGUAAGAGUAGCUGCACUCCCUGCUAGAAGCUCCAAACAAGCUCUCAAAAACCUGCACAUGAUAUUUAUAGCAGCUUUAUUCAUAAUUGCCAAAACUUGGAAGCAGCCAAGAUAUCCUUCAGUAGGUUAAUGGAUAAACAAACUGUGGUACAUCCAGAUGA
rnacentral:snRNA from 1 species